UGUCCGCACGACGGGCACAGACAUGCAGUGUCCCCUUCCAUCUCUGGGGCAGCCACGCCCAGCACUCAGAGCUGGGCCUCUGAAAGCACCCCCCGUGGAAGGAGCCGGGCUCCUGGGAGACCGGGCUGACCAGGGGCUGGGCGAGGAACACGGGGAGUCGGAGCCCCGGCGGGCCGGACGACAAAUUCCAUGGAGAGGGGCUGCAGUGUGGGCCCGACCCCUCCCCAGGCCGUCCGAGCCGUCCUCAGAGUCGUCCCAGCCCAGAGGAGCUUCCGGCCGGGGGUCCUGGGACAGGACCGUGACAUCGGGGGACAGUAAGGAGCCCUACGCAGAGCACGGGCCUUACUUAAUGACAGGAGAGACGGGGCGGGGGAAG